rnacentral:rRNA from 1 species
AGAGUUUGAUCCUGGCUCAGGAUGAACGCUAGCUACAGGCUUAACACAUGCAAGUCGAGGGGAAACGGCAUUUAGUGCUUGCACCGAAUGGACGUCGACCGGCGCACGGGUGAGUAACGCGUAUCCAACCUACCCAUUACUGUGGGAUAACCUGCCGAAAGGCAGACUAAUACCGCAUAGUCUUCGAUGACGGCAUCAGAUUUGAAGUAAAGAUUUAUCGGUAAUGGAUGGGGAUGCGUCUGAUUAGCUUGUUGGCGGGGUAACGGCCCACCAAGGCAACGAUCAGUAGGGGUUCUGAGAGGAAGGUCCCCCACAUUGGAACUGAGACACGGUCCAAACUCCUACGGGAGGCAGCAGUGAGGAAUAUUGGUCAAUGGGCGAGAGCCUGAACCAGCCAAGUAGCGUGCAGGAUGACGGCCCUCCGGGUUGUAAACUGCUUUUAGUUGGGAAUAAAAAAAGGGACGUGUCCCUUAUUGUAUGUACCUUCAGAAAAAGGACCGGCUAAUUCCGUGCCAGCAGCCGCGGUAAUACGGAAGGUCCGGGCGUUAUCCGGAAUUAUUGGGUUUAAAGGGAGCGCAGGCGGGAGUAUAAGUCAGCUGUUAAAUAUCAGGGCCCAACUCUGUUAUGCAGUUGAAACUAUAUUUCUUGAGUACGCACAGGGAUGGCGGAAUUCAGGGUGUAGCGGUGAAAUGCUUAGAUAUCCUGAAGAACUCCGAUCGCGAAGGCAGCCAUCCGGAGCGUAACUGACGCUGAGGCUCGAAGGUGCGGGUAUCGAACAGGAUUAGAUACCCUGGUAGUCCGCACGGUAAACGAUGAAUACUCGCAGUUCGGCCUUUUAGGUCGAGUUGUCCAGCGAAAGCGUUAAGUAUUCCACCUGGGGAGUACGCCGGCAACGGUGAAACUCAAAGGAAUUGACGGGGGCCCG